AACGGGGGGGGCCAAGCGUUAUUCGUCGUUAUUGGGCGUAAAGGGUACGUAGGUGGGUUUUAUUAUUUUCCUGGCGAAAGGACAAAGGAUGAUCUUUGUUAGAGCUGUUUAAAAAAAGACCUAGAGACUGUCGAAGGUUAGAAGAAUUACUAAAGUAGGGGUAAAAUGUGCUGAUCUUAGUACGAAUACCGCAUGCGCAGGCAUCUUUCUUAGCAGUCUGACACUGAGGUACGAAAGCAUGGGGAUCAAACAGG
rnacentral:rRNA from 1 species